CCUACGUGAGGCAGCAGUGAGGAAUAUUGGUCAAUGGACGAGAGUCUGAACCAGCCAAGUAGCGUGAAGGAUGACUGCCCUAUGGGUUGUAAACUUCUUUUAUAUGGGAAUAAAACGUUCCACGUGUGGGAUUUUGUAUGUACCAUAUGAAUAAGGAUCGGCUAACUCCGUGCCAGCAGCCGCGGUAAUACGGAGGUUCCGAGCGUUCUCCGGAUUUAUUGGGUGUAAAGGGAGCGUAGGUGGAUGGUUAAGUCAGUUGUGAAAGUUUGCGGCUCAACCGUAGAAUUGCAGUUGAAACUGGCAGUCUUGAGGACAGUAGAGGUGGGCGGAAUUCGUGGUGGAGCGGUGAAAUGCUUAGAUAUCACGAAGAACUCCGAUUGCGAAGGCAGUUCACUGGACAGCAACUGACACUGAGGCUCGAAAGUGUGGGUAUCAAACAGGAUUAGAUACCCGGGUAGUC
rnacentral:rRNA from 1 species